rnacentral:lncRNA from 1 species
UGUGCAAAGCCUAACAGGAGAUUUCCUUCCACAUUUCCUUACAAUUCUGACCUCUCCUUUCUAAUAUCCACCAAAUCAUUUUAAAUUCCAUAAAUGUUCAAAGAAGCAUGUACCCCAAAUUAGAAACACUAUUCCAGUUUCAUUUCUCUAGCAGGCAUUUAUGGAGGCCAAAUUUUACUGUUGUGGGGCUUGGAAUUGAGAGUUAGUAAUAAGCAAUGAAACAACACCAAGCUCAAGUAAGUCCAAGGUAAGAUUUGAUCUGCA